GACGAACGCUGGCGGCGUGCUUAACACAUGCAAGUCGAACGGAAAGGCCCGGCUUUUGUGGGGUGCUCGAGUGGCGAACGGGUGAGUAACACGUGAGUAACCUGCCCUUGACUGUGGGAUAAAUUCAGGAAACUGGGGCUAAUACCGGAUAGGAGCUCCUGCUGCAUGGGGGGGGUGGGAAAGUUUCGGCGGUUGGGGAUGGACUCGCGGCUUAUCAGCGUGUUGGUGGGGUAGUGGCUUACCAAGGCUUUGACGGGUAGCCGGCCUGGGAGGGUGACCGGCCACAUUGGGCCUGGGAUACGGCCCAGACUCCUACGGGGGGCAGCAGUGGGGAUUAUUGCGCACUGGGCGGCAGCCUGAUGCAGCAACGCCGCGUGCUGGAUGACGGCCUUUGGGUUGUAAACCGCUUUCGCCUGUGACGAAGCGUGAGUGACGGUAAUGGGUAAAGAAGCACCGGCUAACUACGUG
rnacentral:rRNA from 1 species